CAGGAAAAAAUUGCCAGACACCACUCAAUGUACACAGAAACUGGUUUCACCCUUAAACCAGACCAGUAUUAGAGAUUACUUAUGAACACCAAUAAUGAAAUAUUUCUAAAUUAAAUCUUGUCCAGGCUCUUGAGUGGAGUUCUUUUAUCAGUGGAGAGCAGGCUGAAAAUGUUACUGAAUCUGAAUAAUAUUAAGCUCAGCUGAAGUGAACAGCCACAAAAGAUAUUAGGCAAUGGGAGAUUCGAGCCUGAAAUACUAUAUGAAGUGUGCCUCUUUAGUCCUCAAGAAAAGGUUCUGGUGCUCGUGGCUGAUGAAGAAGAAGGGUAUACCGGUGACUGCAGGAGUUUUUGGGAAGAAGCUGAGCACAUAAGUGAAAGAAAGAAGAUUUAACAUCAAUUAUUUCUUUGGGAAAGUGAGCUAGGUGAUGGGAAAGAUAUACAUUCAAGAAGUUCCAAUCUUGGUGCGUUCUUGGUGAAGGAUGUCCUGCUUUCCCCAGUUUUUCUGUUCCUAAAUAUACCAUAUAAAAACCUUCUCUACAGUAAGGCUGCUAAAUAGUCUAGCCCCCACUUUACUGAGAAUCUAAUUUUCUCAGUAGAGCUCUACUGUUUUGAUUUUCUCUUUAUGCAAGGAAUAUGAAGACUGUCAUGAUAUUGCCAAAACAGAAUUCACAAUUGCCAUCAAUAUAAAUUCAAUGGAAUAUACUGUAACAAAAAAAGAAGAAAUCACUCAAGUUCUUGUGGAGUUGUGUAGCUGAAACACGUAAGUUGAGACUAUAAGAAA
rnacentral:lncRNA from 1 species